rnacentral:misc_RNA from 1 species
AACUUUCAACAAUGGAUCACUUGGUUCUGGCAUCGAUGAAGAACGCAGCGAAAUGCGAAAAGUAGUGUGAAUUGCAGAAUUCAGUGAAUCAUCGAAUCUUUGAACGCACAUUGCGCCCCUUGGUAUUCCAUGGGGCAUGCCUGUUCGAGCGUCAUUUGUACCUUCAAGCUCUGCUUGGUGUUGGGUGUUUGUCUCGCCUCGUGCGUGGACUCGCCUUAAAGCAAUUGGCAGCCGGCAUACUGGUCGAAAAGCGCAGCACAUUUUGCGCAGUUCCCCCGGUAGGUUGGCGUCCAUCAAGCCUAUUUUUCACGCUUGACCUCGGAUCAGGUAGGGAUACCCGCUGAACUUAAGCAUAUCAAUAAGCGGAGGCU